UUGACCAAAACAUCCUUUCUGACUUCCAAGAAAUCUGGCCUCGCAUCCUAGAACUCGAGCCUUCGGGGGACGGGAAGAUACAAAUAAAGAGAAUGACUAUGAAGAAGAAGGAACUUGUUUGACCACCCCACCCCACCACCACCACCGCACCCUCGACGUGUCUGUCUGACGCGGGGAAAGCAUGGCGUCAUAUCGCCUAGACUUAUUGAUCUGUAGGUGAUACUCCCGCCAUACACUGCUGGUGAUGAACAGUGAAGUGGAGUACAGCAAUGACUCGUUUAUUUGGAGUAAACUGCAGAAUGUAACAUCUUUGUUUGCACCUGUAAAUGGGGCUUUGUGAAGCGCAGACGUCAGGCCCACAACCAAAAGAAACAAUUAAUUUAAAAAAAUUCUGGACGGUUUGCAAUCUUUAACGGGUCUAAGUUGCAUAAACACCAAUCUCAACAUGCAAUUCCACAAGAAAGUACCUGCUAUGAAAAAAAAUGUACUUCAAAGAUGAUUGCAUUUUUAUCGAUCAAAUUUGUACAUAUUAAGAACCAGAUUGUAUUGUAGUGGUUAUUUACAAAUGGAGUUCUGGAUGCCGGGGAUCUAAUCUCUGGCCAGUUGUUUAGUUGGUGUUAAAGGGUCUCCUAACCUUCCAUACCACAUGACUUCUUGGCCCAUCCAACCUCAGAAAUGCCUCAAUUUUAACACCCAACCUAACAUACCCACGGGACCACCUGACUUCUUGGUCCAUCCAACCUCGGAAAUGCCUCGAAAUUUUAAUAUUCUCCAAAUCCUCUAGCUGGCAACUCUUGGCAACCAUAUUUGGUGUGUGUGUAAUACAAGGUGGACCUCAAGAAGCCCAUUAGUCCCCAGUGAGCUGUCACAAGAAGUAACAUCUAUAUAUGCUGCUUGUCUUGGCUGUAUGAC